rnacentral:rRNA from 1 species
AACGCUGGCGGCGCGCUUAACACAUGCAAGUCGAGCGAGAACCGGGGCUUCGGCCCCGGGGACAGCGGCGAACGGGUGAGUAACACGUGGGUAACCUGCCCUCGGCACCGGGAUAGCCCGAGGAAACUCGGAUUAAUACCGGAUAGCCCCUCCAGCCCUCGGGCCGGCCGGGAAAGGUAGCUUCGGCCUCCGGCCGAGGAUGGGCCCGCGGCGGAUUAGCUUGUUGGUGGGGUAACGGCCCACCAAGGCGACGAUCCGUAGCUGGUCUGAGAGGACGAUCAGCCACACUGGGACUGAGACACGGCCCAGACUCCUACGGGAGGCAGCAGUGGGGAAUCUUGCGCAAUGGGCGAAAGCCUGACGCAGCGACGCCGCGUGAGGGAAGAAGGCCUUCGGGUUGUAAACCUCUUUCAGGAGGGACGAAGCCACUCGGGUGAACAGCCCAGAGGGUGACGGUACCUCCAGAAGAAGCCCCGGCUAACUACGUGCCAGCAGCCGCAGUAACAC